CCUACGGGCGGCUGCAGUGGGGAAUAUUGCACAAUGGGCGCAAGCCUGAUGCAGCCAUGCCGCGUGUGUGAAGAAGGCCUUCGGGUUGUAAAGCACUUUCAGCGGGGAGGAAGGCGGUGAGGUUAAUAACUCCAUCGAUUGACGUUACCCGCAGAAGCAGCACCGGCUAACUCCGUGCCAGCAGCCGCGGUAAUACGGAGGGUGCAAGCGUUAAUCGGAAUUACUGGGCGUAAAGCGCACGCAGGCGGUCGUUCAAGUCGGAUGUGAAAUCCCCGGGCUCAACCUGGGAACUGCAUUCGAAGCUGGCAGGCUAGAGUCUUGUAGAGGGGGGUAGAAUUCCAGGUGUAGCGGCGAAAUGCGUAGAUAUCUGGAGGAAUACCGGUGGCGAAGGCGGCCCCCUGGACAAAGACUGACGCUCAGGUGCGAAAGCGUGGGGAGCAAACAGGAUUAGAUACCCCUGUAGUC
rnacentral:rRNA from 1 species